rnacentral:rRNA from 1 species
GCGCAGCAGGCGCGAAUCCUCCGCAAUGCGGGCAACCGCGACGGGGGACCCCGACGUGCCGUGGCAUCGCCACGGCUUUUCCGGUAGUGUAAAAAGACUCCGGGAAUAAGGGCUGGGCAAGGCCGGUGGCAGCCGCCGCGGUAAUACCGGCGGCCCGAGUGGUGGCCGCUAUUAUUGGGCCUAAAGCGUCCGUAGCCGGGCCUGUAAGUCCCUGGCGAAAUCCCACGGCUCAACCGUGGGGCUUGCUGGGGAUACUGCAGGCCUUGGGACCGGGAGAGGCCGGGGGUACCCCUGGGGUAGGGGUGAAAUCCUAUAAUCCCAGGGGGACCGCCAGUGGCGAAGGCGCCCGACUGGAACGGGUCCGACGGUGAGGGACGAAGGCCAGGGGAGCGAACCGGAUUAGAUACCCCCGUAGUCCCUGAGACUCCAAGGCACACA